rnacentral:piRNA from 1 species
UAGGUACAUUUGGAGGUCCUC